rnacentral:rRNA from 1 species
UACGGAGGGUGCGAGCGUUAUCCGGAAUUACUGGGUUUAAAGGGUGCGUAGGCGGCUAUGUAAGUCAGAUAGUGAAAGUUUGCGGCUCAACCGUAAAAUUGCUUUUGAUACUGCAUGGCUAGAAUCAGGAUGAGGUCAGCGGAAUGUGGCAUGUAGCGGUGAAAUGCAUAGAUAUGCCAUAGAACACCAAUUGCGAAGGCAGCUGGCUAGACCUGUAUUGACGCUGGAGGCACGAAAGCGUGGGGAUCGAACAGG